rnacentral:lncRNA from 1 species
ACCAUUCAUCCAUAGUUUUUCAAAGCCAAUUGAAUCAUUUGCAUUUGCAUGGUUAGUUUUUGUUCUUUGCAUUCAACACUUAAAUUUAAUUCUUUUCUCAAGUCUUAAGCGAUUGGGUUACACGAAAGAUUAGGCCUUUGAGUCCUUUGGGAAGAACGAUAUUGGAUUUACCAAUUAUAUUACUUGAUAACGAUUUGGUACACUUGUCAGGGGCUUAACAAGUUUUUGGCGUCGUUGUCGGGGACUCAUGGUUUAAC